rnacentral:lncRNA from 1 species
UCCAUCUAAAACAUUCGGAGCAGAAACACUUGCAAAUACUGGCAAUGCAUGCUUGACUAUCCAACAUUCCUCUCUCUCUCUACUCGCAAAUAAAAACAUUCCUCUCUCUCACUAAUGCCAUAUAUAAAUAGGCCAUGGCUAACAUUUACGGAUUAACCCACUUUCAACCAGCAGCUCAUGCCCCUAUUACAGUAGCAAAACAACACUAGCUUAUGGGUUGAAGCCACCAAGCAUAAUCCUGAA